rnacentral:rRNA from 1 species
UACGUAGGGGGCAAGCGUUGUCCGGAAUCAUUGGGCGUAAAGCGCGUGUAGGCGGCUUGGUAAGUCCGCUCUGAAAGCCCACGGCUCAACCGUGGAGGGUCAUUGGAAACUGGGGGACUUGAGUGCAGAAGAGGAAAGCGGAAUUCCACGUGUAGCGGUGAAAUGCGUAGAGAUGUGGAGGAACACCAGUGGCGAAGGCGGCUUUCUGGUCUGUAACUGACGCUGAGGCGCGAAAGCGUGGGGAGCAAACAGG